rnacentral:sRNA from 2 species
AUAUCUCUCUGUACGGGAAGGAUGAGAAGCUUCGACUAAGGUUCGAUUCGAGCGUCAGCGAGAAAGCGUUGCCGCAGGCAACGACCCGAAGCGCGCAGCGCUGAGUCAUCCUUCCCCCACCACCA